UUUAAAAGCCUUCCGAAAUCAGAUCUCACCCUUUCAUUCUCUCUUGGACAGACGUGGCACAGCAAUUGCCUCAGAUCAUGGCUUCUCGGGCCACCGGCGAUGACCACUGGUAACAAACUGGUAAAGUUGCUUGAGGAUAUCAUGGAUGGCAGCAGAAUACUGAUAUUCAUGGAUACUAAGAAAGGAUGUGACCAGAUCACUCGACAGCUCCGCAUGGAUGGUUGGCCUGCUGAGUUUAAAAGUCAAGCAAAAAGGGAUUGGGUCCUCUCUGAGUUUAAAGCCGGCAAGAGCCCCAUAAUGACUGGACUGCAACAGAUGUUGCUGCUCGUGGUCUAAGUAUGGAAAUAAUUUCUUUUAAGUUUGUCAAAAGACUUGAAAGGAAUUCUUGUUUUGUGUAAACUUAGGAAAAUGUCAAACCCCCACCCUGGACACCAUUUCAUUUUAGACUGUAUCGAGUCCUUUCUGUUCUCAUUGAUCUGACCUAUGAGGAUGUUAUCAACAUGAUUGUACUGAAACAAAUAUUUAUUAUACGUUAGUUUGUUUAAAA